GGGAUGCACACAGUCCCCGGACAGCAGGUUCUCACAGGCCCAGCAGCAGAGGAAGAUGGGAUCCGCCACAUGCGGAGAUGGCGGGAGCAGGCUGCCAUGACAACACAGCACGACCCUGAGCUCCACAAGGACAAGCACAGACCAUGAAACCCUCUGUGUGUGAAGAUGCUCCAUGAGAAGAUGAGGAAGAAACAGCUGCAGAUGGAAACACCUGAUCUUGAAUUUCAACAGGAACUUGAGAAUCAAAAGAGAAAGCGGGAAGAACUAACACCCAGAGGCUGGAGUGACUUGCUGGGGACGGUCCGGUCUCGCCACCCAGGAGCUCACAGAUGCACUGGGGAGUUGGUACCGCUGGACACAGACAACAAGAGCAAGCCACAUGUUUAUUUCAUUAUCUACUUAAUUACACUU